rnacentral:lncRNA from 1 species
ACCCCUUGCACACAGAAAAACACACAGACACACAUACACAAGCAAUGCAACCGUUACACACAAUGCAUCCCUUACACACACAGAAACACACAAUGCAUUAAUUACACACACUCAAUGCACCCCUUACACACAUUCAAUGCAUUCCAUACAUACACAGAAACACACCUUGCAGUCCUUACACAUACAAACACAAUUUCACACAAUGCAUUCCUUACACACAUAUCAGGACAUCCCCUACACACUCCACCCCCUGUGAACAAACUCAUUGGUGG